AAAUUGAAGAGUUUGAUCAUGGCUCAGAUUGAACGCUGGCGGCAGGCCUAACACAUGCAAGUCGAACGGUAGCACAGAGAGCUUGCUCUCGGGUGACGAGUGGCGGACGGGUGAGUAAUGUCUGGGAAACUGCCUGAUGGAGGGGGAUAACUACUGGAAACGGUGGCUAAUACCGCAUAACGUCGCAAGACCAAAGAGGGGGACCUUCGGGCCUCUUGCCAUCAGAUGUGCCCAGAUGGGAUUAGCUAGUUGGUGAGGUAACGGCUCACCAAGGCGACGAUCCCUAGCUGGUCUGAGAGGAUGACCAGCCACACUGGAACUGAGACACGGUCCAGACUCCUACGGGAGGCAGCAGUGGGGAAUAUUGCACAAUGGGCGCAAGCCUGAUGCAGCCAUGCCGCGUGUAUGAAGAAGGCCUUCGGGUUGUAAAGUACUUUCAGCGGGGAGGAAGGUGUUGUGGUUAAUAACCGCAGCAAUUGACGUUACCCGCAGAAGAAGCACCGGCUAACUCCGUGCCAGCAGCCGCGGUAAUACGGAGGGUGCAAGCGUUAAUCGGAAUUACUGGGCGUAAAGCGCACGCAGGCGGUCUGUCAAGUCGGAUGUGAAAUCCCCGGGCUCAACCUGGGAACUGCAUUCGAAACUGGCAGGCUUGAGUCUUGUAGAGGGGGGUAGAAUUCCAGGUGUAGCGGUGAAAUGCGUAGAGAUCUGGAGGAAUACCGGUGGCGAAGGCGGCCCCCUGGACAAAGACUGACGCUCAGGUGCGAAAGCGUGGGGAGCAAACAGGAUUAGAUACCCUGGUAGUCCACGCCGUAAACGAUGUCUACUUGGAGGUUGUGCCCUUGAGGCGUGGCUUCCGGAGCUAACGCGUUAAGUAGACCGCCUGGGGAGUACGGCCGCAAGGUUAAAACUCAAAUGAAUUGACGGGGGCCCGCACAAGCGGUGGAGCAUGUGGUUUAAUUCGAUGCAACGCGAAGAACCUUACCUGGUCUUGACAUCCACAGAAGAAUCCAGAGAUGGAUUUGUGCCUUCGGGAACUGUGAGACAGGUGCUGCAUGGCUGUCGUCAGCUCGUGUUGUGAAAUGUUGGGUUAAGUCCCGCAACGAGCGCAACCCUUAUCCUUUGUUGCCAGCGGUUAGGCCGGGAACUCAAAGGAGACUGCCAGUGAUAAACUGGAGGAAGGUGGGGAUGACGUCAAGUCAUCAUGGCCCUUACGACCAGGGCUACACACGUGCUACAAUGGCGCAUACAAAGAGAAGCGACCUCGCGAGAGCAAGCGGACCUCAUAAAGUGCGUCGUAGUCCGGAUUGGAGUCUGCAACUCGACUCCAUGAAGUCGGAAUCGCUAGUAAUCGUGGAUCAGAAUGCCACGGUGAAUACGUUCCCGGGCCUUGUACACACCGCCCGUCACACCAUGGGAGUGGGUUGCAAAAGAAGUAGGUAGCUUAACCUUCGGGAGGGCGCUUACCACUUUGUGAUUCAUGACUGGGGUGAAGUCGUAACAAGGUAACCGUAGGGGAACCUGCGGUUGGAUCACCUCCUUACCUUAAAGAAGC
rnacentral:rRNA from 1 species